rnacentral:rRNA from 1 species
GGCAACAGCUCAAAUUUGAAAGCUAGCCUUCGGGUUCGCAUUGUAAUUUGUAGAGGAUGCUUUGGGUAAAACGCCAGUCUAAGUUCCUUGGAACAGGACGUCAUAGAGGGUGAGAAUCCCGUAUGUGACUGGAAAUGUUAACCUAUGUAAAGCUCCUUCGACGAGUCGAGUUGUUUGGGAAUGCAGCUCUAAAUGGGAGGUAAAUUUCUUCUAAAGCUAAAUAUUGGCGAGAGACCGAUAGCGCACAAGUAGAGUGAUCGAAAGAUGAAAAGCACUUUGGAAAGAGAGUUAAAAAGCACGUGAAAUUGUUGAAAGGGAAGCGCUUGCAAUCAGACUUGUUUAAACUGUUCGGCCGGUCUUCUGACCGGUUUACUCAGUUUGGACAGGCCAGCAUCAGUUUCGGCGGCCGGAUAAAGGCUCUGGGAAUGUGGCCUCCACUUCGGUGGAGGUGUUAUAGCCCAGUGUGUAAUACGGCCAGCCGGGACUGAGGUCCGCGCUUCGGCUAGGAUGCUGGCGUAAUGGUUGUAAGCGACCCGUCUU